UGUCAGCACCUUAAGAAAUUUUUAGAAAACAGUAUGGAGAAUAUGCAUGUUGGUGGAGAUAUGUCAGUGCCUUUCUUCUAUGGUUUUGUACACAGCCCUCACUAAAACUGUGUUUCCAAGUAGUGAUUAAGCAUUUUAGUUCUAAACCCUACUGGUAUAAUUUGUUUUCUUUAACAUUCAUCUUGAAGCAAUAGUUUUCCAUGAAUAAUUAUCUAUUUGGAAUUUGUGGAUCAAAGGCAGUUUCAAUUUGAUCCAGUUGAGUGUGGAUAAUGUUAAAUUCAGUCAAACCUUCAGCACAUGGUGCAAGAAACCAUGAAGGAGAUGGGAACAGUGGUGUUAGCAUGAAGUUGGCAUUGGCUUGGUAACAACAUACGGUCAACUCAUUUUUGGAAAUAAAUGCAUUUGUGCUGUUAAUCCACCAUGCGAAUCUUCCCGUAUUUCAAAAGAGGAUCAUAAAAUACAUAUUUUAGAUUGGUCUGGCUGAAGGUAACUUCCGGUAUUUGAACCGGAAGUGACUUCAUGUAUUACGUGCUUCGGGAAAGUGAAGGCAUGUGGCUUCGUGUUUCACUUUUGCAAAUUUCCUUAGGGAGGAGCGUGAACAACUAAUCGCAAAAACUGUUUCUUACACUGCUUCUGAUUUUGAUUGCCGCUCCAAUUUUGCCCGUGGUGAAGCUUCAGCUACAAGAUGGCUUCUAGAAAGACCAAAAAGACGACAAAAAAGCGGGCUCACCGAGCCACUUCGAACGUGUUUGCUAUGUUCGACCAAAACCAGAUACAGGAAUUUAAAGAGGCCUUCAACAUGAUCGACCAAAACAGUGAUGGUUUCGUCGAUAAAGAAGAUUUACACGACAUGCUGGCUUCCCUGGGUAAAGAUCCUUCCGAUGAAUAUUUGGAAGAGAUGGUGAAAAUGUCGCCUGGUCCUAUCAACUUUACCAUGUUUCUAACGCUGUUUGGUGAAAAACUGAACGGGACAGAUCCUGAAGAUGUAAUAAAUAAUGCAUUUGCCUGUUUUGAUGACGAUGGUAACGGUAAAGUCCACGAAGAUGCAUUGAAAGAGGCUUUAACUACUAUGGGAGACAGAUUUACCGAGGAUCAAGUUGAUGAUGUGCUUCGUGACGCGCCAAUCGACAAAGAUGGAUACCUGGAUUUCGUAAAGUUCACUCACAUCUUAAAACACGGAAAAGAUGAUAACGACUAAGACUAUAGAAGUUGCCAUGAAAAUAUCUUAGAUUAGUUAAGAAAUUUUUUUAUGGUUCUGUUCUUGUUUACUGAGAUGUGUAAGAUAAAAAAUCACUAAAUGAAGAUUUUAUGUGUGAUGUAGGUAGCUGGUUUGUGGAUUUUAUAUUGUUAGCCAUGUAAGGUCAUAUUGCCCAUGGAAUGUCUGGCAUGGAAUGUACUGAAUUGGAACGAAUUUUUACUUAUCAGAAUUUAUAUGAAAGGAGAAAUUAAUAGUAACAUUUUUAAAGGUAUUUUAUUGUAAGUAAUUUUUAGUCACAAUUUAUGUUGGUAAAUUUCACUUCGUAUAUCAAUGGAAGUCCAUGUGAAUCUCUUUGUUACUUCCCAGUGCUUGAAUCAAAGGAAUAGUAAGAUUUUUAAAGGCCUCAAAAUGCUAUUUUGUGAAUAAAGAAUUAACAGGAAUUAAAGUUGUAGUUAUACUG